AGAGUUUGAUCCUGGCUCAGAACAAACGCUGGCGGCGUGUCUUAAGCAUGCAAGUUGAGCGGCAAGGAGGAGAGAUCCUCCCUAGAGCGGCGGACUGGUGAGUAACGCGUGGGUAAUCUAUCUUAGGCAUGGGGAUAGUCACUAGAAAUAGUGGGUAAUACCGAAUAAGUUCCAUAAGGGGAGGACUUAUGGAAGAAAGGUGCUACGGCACUGGCCUUAGGUGAGCUCGCGUCCCAUUAGCUAGUUGGUGAGGUAAAGGCCCACCAAGGCGAUGAUGGGUAGCCGGCCUGAGAGGGUGUACGGCCACACUGGGACUGAGAUACGGCCCAGACUCCUACGGGAGGCAGCAGCUAAGAAUAUUCCGCAAUGGACGGAAGUCUGACGGAGCGACGCCGCGUGGAUGAAGAAGGCCGAAAGGUUGUAAAGUUCUUUUGCUAGGGGAGAAUAAGUGUGGGAGGGAAUGCCUGCACGAUGACAAGGACUAGCGAAUAAGUCCCGGCCAACUACGUGCCAGCAGCCGCGGUAACACGUAGGGGGCGAGCGUUGUUCGGAAUUACUGGGCGUAAAGGGCAUGUAGGCGGCUUGGUAAGCCUGGCGUGAAAGUCUGCAGCUUAACUGUAGGGAUGCGUUGGGAACUGCUUAGCUUGAGUUACGGAGAGGGAGCUGGAAUUCCUGGUGUAGGGGUGAAAUCUGUAGAUAUCAGGAAGAACACCGAUGGCGAAGGCAAGCUUCUGGUCGAUAACUGACGCUGAGGUGCGAAAGUGUGGGGAUCAAACAGGAUUAGAUACCCUGGUAGUCCACACUGUAAACGAU
rnacentral:rRNA from 1 species